rnacentral:rRNA from 1 species
UACGGAGGAUGCAAGCGUUAUCCGGAAUGAUUGGGCGUAAAGGGUCCGCAGGUGGCAGUGUAAGUCUGCUGUCAAAGAAUGAGGCUUAACCUCAUCAAGGCAGUGGAAACUACACAGCUAGAGUACGGUCGGGGUAGAAGGAAUUCCUGGUGUAGCGGUGAAAUGCGCAGAUAUCAGGAGGAACACCGGUGGCGAAGGCGGUUCUCUGGGCCUUACCUGACGCUGAGGAGCGAAAGCAUGGGGAGCAAACAGG